AUGCUGGGCCCCCCAGCCUGGAGAGCACGUGUGUGUGGGAGGGGCUUUUGGACCGGGGCUGUGUCACUGUGGUAUAUAAUAACCACUACUACUAGCAUAUGCCACAGUGGCACAGACCCUGACAAAAUCCCCUGUCUCCCCUCACUGGAGAUUCUGCAGCUCCAGCGGCUUCUCUCAGGGAAGACAGCUGCAGCCCUCUGCAGGGAUCCCUCGUCUGCUCCAGGAGGAAUUUCUCCUGUUCUAGCAGAGAGAGGACACCGUGGCCAUGCACUCACACACACAAGUCUGACCUGGAGCAGAGGCCACUUACCGCGGGCGUGGAACAGAUGCUGCUCGGAGCCUGGGGACAAGGUCAGCCAACCCAGAUCCAGCACUUUGAGUCUCCCUGGGUCUCCAACUGCCCAUCCAUCUCUUUUGGCUGGGAGCCCGGGGGUCCAGGGUAUCCUCAGUGAGAUCUCCUGACCCUGUGGUCACUCAUUGCCAAACCCUGUCCCUGCUGAGGCGCCAGGCAAAGGUAUUCAUGCAUCUCAAUUCUAGCUGCACGAAACGGGAGGAGAGCCUUCCCUGUGGAUGCGCACGAAGCAAAGCUGCCCACGGUGCUGUCCCUGGCCAUGGUGAGGGCCAUCUCGUGGUUUGGGCUUGGGCUUUCCUGCAGUGGCCUCCCUGGUGGUCUCUCUUUUACUGUCUUGGGAGGGCUGGGAAGGGUGCUGGUCUCAGGGGUGGUCCUAUCUCUUCAGGCAUGAGGACCUCAGCUUGAGACCACGCCUGUGCUUUCUUAUCUCUCCCUUUCCCUGUCCAGAAGUGGAUGUUUUUCCUGGCAGCAAAGAGAUGGAUCUUGGUUUUCUUUGCUCUUCUCUUUGGUGGGUGGGGUGGGUUGGCCAGGGGAAAGGGAGACACAGGAUUUCACAGAGAUCUUCUUGCAAGUGUCGUUCUCCUGCUUUCUGUAGUUUUCUCUUGGGCUGCUUAUUGCUUAGUGCUGACUUUAGUUAUUUUUUUUAAAGAUUUAUUUAUUUAUUUGAAAGUCAGAGCUACACACAGAGAGGAGAUGCAGAGAAAGAGGUCUUCCAUCCGCUGGUUCACUCCCCAUUUGGCUGCAACAGCUGGAGCUGGGCCAACUGAAGCCAGGAGCCGGGAGCCAGGAGCCAGGAGCUUCUUCUGGUCUCCCACGUGGGUGCAGGGGCCAAGCACUUGGGCCAUCUUCUACUGCUUUCCCAGGCCAUAGUAGAGGGCUGGAUUGGAAAUGGAGCAGCCGGGACUUGAACAGCGCCCCUAUGGAAUGCUGGGGCUGCAAGCAGCGGCUUUACCCGCUACGCCACACUGUGGGCCCUAGUCUUCCUAAGCUCUGGGCGCAAGUGCUUCUUGAGAUGUGUCCUUCCCCUCCUUCCGCUUCCAUCACAGUGUCAUUCACACGCUGAAGCUUGGAAUAAUAAGGAAGUUGCAUUUAUUCAUAUUUUUUCCUUUA
rnacentral:lncRNA from 1 species